rnacentral:rRNA from 1 species
GCAGGGNCAGCCUGAAUCAGCCAUGCCGCGUGCAGGAUGAAGGCCUUCGGGUUGUAAACUGCUUUUGUACGGNANGAAANGGCCAUUUUCUAAUAAAGAGGGCUAAUGACGGUACCGCUNAGAAUAAGCACCGGNUAACUACGUGCCAGCAGCCGCGGUAAUACGAA